rnacentral:rRNA from 1 species
UACGUAGGGUGCGAGCGUUUAAUCGGAAUUACUGGGCGUAAAGCGUGCGCAGGCGGCGCGUUAAGACAGGUGUGAAAGCCCCGAGCUUAACUUGGGAAUUGCGCUUGUGACUGGCGUGCUGGAGUGUGGCAGAGGGAGGUGGAAUUCCACGUGUAGCAGUGAAAUGCGUAGAGAUGUGGAGGAACACCGAUGGCGAAGGCAGCCCCCUGGGCUGAGAUUAACGCUCAGGCACGAAAGCGUGGGGAGCAAACAGG